UACAGAGGUCCCAAGCGUUGUUCGGAUUCACUGGGCGUAAAGGGUGCGUAGGCGGUCGGGUAAGUCUGAUGUGAAAUCUCACAGCUUAACUGUGAAACUGCAUUGGAUACUAUCCGGCUAAAGGAAUGGAGGGGAGACUGGAAUACUUGGUGUAGCAGUGAAAUGCGUAGAUAUCAAGUGGAACACCAGUGGCGAAGGCGAGUCUCUGGACAUUUCCUGACGCUGAGGCACGAAAGCCAGGGGAGCAAACGGG
rnacentral:rRNA from 1 species